UACGAAGGGGGCGAGCGUUGUUCGGAAUUACUGGGCGUAAAGGGCGCGUAGGCGGCGAUCCGAGUCAGAUGUGAAAGUCCUGGGCUUAACCUGGGGACUGCAUUUGAUACUGGAUUGCUUGAAUUCGGGAGAGGAUAGCGGAAUUCCCAGUGUAGAGGUGAAAUUCGUAGAUAUUGGGAAGAACACCGGUGGCGAAGGCGGCUAUCUGGACCGACAUUGACGCUGAGGAGCGAAAGCCAGGGGAGCAAACGGG
rnacentral:rRNA from 1 species